rnacentral:piRNA from 1 species
UGUUAAUUCUUCCAGAUCUGGAGUUCUAAG